rnacentral:lncRNA from 1 species
GCGUAGUUUAUAUUUAUAUUAAUUAAAUCUCAACCAUAAAUGUUAGAAACGUACAAUUUUUCCAGUACAAAGCCACCUUGAACUAUAGUGUAGGCUACGGCUUGUGUAUUUCCUGUUAUCGCUAAUGGCCAAGAAAAGAUUAUGCCCGAUCUAUAGAUAAUCUGUCUUUCCCUCAACACCUCAUGGCAUGGCAUGUUAUCUUAUCUCGCUGUAUACAGAUCUAAAUGUUGUUAGCCAAUCACAGACUGUGUUGUUACCAGUUCCACAUCAGACAACCAAUAAGAGUUGUGGCCAUGGCUUUCAGAGGAGUUAAUAGUUGCUAAUCAGACUCCUUGGGAUGUCCCUUCAGUCGAAUAGAACAGUUCAUAGACUUUCCCAGAGGGUCCGUGCUAUACGGGAUCUUUAGGAUGUCCAUACCUCUAUCAAGUAUAAACGUAAAUUGGUUAUGUUUAGUGUUAGUUUAGGGUAAGGACGCCCCAAGGAAUCCGGAAUGCAGUGACCGUUCAUAGAGUGAGAGACUGGCACGGUAUUUGAGAGCUCGGCGGUGACACGACAUUUAUUUGUUUUUUACAAGCGGCAGUAGUGAGUGUCUGCCCCAGAUCUUUUCUCGAAUAAGGAAACUAAUUACCAAGAUGUCCUUGAUCCAAUUGAGGAUCAAGAUGGGAUGAGACAGAGUAACCAAUCAGCUUCACUGCAGAUGUUCAACCCACCACCCCCACUGCCCUCCCUCCAUAAGUGCCUGAGAGCUGUGACUGCGCCAAGGGCUAAAAUAUUGUGUGUUGUUUCUUCGUAUGCAGGUAUGUCUUUUAUUUUGUCCGAAUUAUGUUCUGUAUCAUUUUACUUGUAUUGUAUGCUGUUGUGCACUGAAUGUGUGCACGCAGCACCUGUUAAUUCUUUUUGAC